GUGACCUGCGGAGGAUCAUUAUCGUAAACCGAGGUGCGAGGGCUGUCGCUGACCUUCAAGGUUGUGCACGUCCAAAGCGCUCUCGCAAUCCAUCUCACACCUUUGUGCAUCACCGCGUGGGUCUCCCUUUGCGGGGAGGGCUUGCGUUUUCACAUAAAACCUGAUAUACAGUGUAAAAUGUUUUUUNUUNUNUUU
rnacentral:misc_RNA from 1 species